GGAAGUGGGACUCUACAGCCCUCCGAGACCCCUCAAGGAUCUCAGGGGCCACAGGCCCCAGCAGUGGGCUUUUCUGGAGACAACACCACUUCACAGGCACUGGCUUUCAGGUCACUAUAUGAAUGCGAGAGGUACCAGGAGUGGCCAGGUCACCAUCCUGCCAGCCUCACAUCCAUGGACUUCGUCUCUGGCCUCUGCCCUCUGGCUACUGGCAGCAGCAUGCUUGAUUCCUCUAUGGCUGCCCACGAUUCUUGGAUGAUGCCCUUUACACUGUCAUCCUCCGAGGAACAUUUCCUCUCGAUGGAGGAACCGGGCCUUAGACACCAGCUGGACUCUGGGAUGGAUCCUGAACUUGUCCCCUUAGCCAUGGACGUUGCUGCACUCGCGGGUCCCAGCCAUGCAGGAUCUACUGGCCUGUGUGGUAGUCACUCUCAGAGCUUAUGCCAAGAGGAGAGUCCAGGACCAAGAAGUGGGCAGGCAGCUUCCACUGCAGGCUGUUAAAAUUCAUCAUCCCCAUAGGUGCAAUGGCCCGGUGGCCAGGCGUCAUGGAAUGCUUUCUGGAGAGCCAUGAUGCUCCUUGAGUUUUCUGAGGGCAGCGGGGGUCACACAGCCCAUGUGAAGAUCGGAACAGCACAUGGAAUCACCCCGAAUAAAAAUUGAUGCUCCAAGAAAUCCCCAAGAGAGUUGGCAAGGAAGCGCCAAAGAGCUUCUUGUCAUACCACACUCACUGUUUGAACAGUUUGGAUGGUAAUUCUCUAUCUUGGCAAAGUUUUUGAGAAAUGUUUGUGGUAUCAUAAGUCUAAUGUGGGUCUGCUCCAGGCAGACAGUGAUCAAAGUUGAGUUUAGCCCCCCUCCCCCCACUCCCCUUCCCGGCACGAGCUGGGAAGGAGAACUCACUAGAUCACAGAAGGAUGGCUCACUAGAUCACAGAAGAUUGUUCCACUGUUGAGCCUUCCUAUCCCCUUGUACACAGAGCCUCCUUCUUCCACUCAUUAUGUUUGUGAGUGAGUAUGGAGAGUGAUAAGCCAUCCCUUUGUUCGUGGGACCCAUCCUCCUAGAAUGUUGACUAGCAAAGUGUUGACUGGAGAUGGCCAGAUAGGGUACAGCAGACUGUGUUUCCUUGCC